AAUUUAUGUUAUUUAAUUAAAAAAAAAAGAUUUUGAUCAUGUUAUGGUUGAUUUAAAAUAAAUAAUAAAUAAAGAUGGAAGAAGAGGGCCGAUGGCGUGCCCUCCUCCUCUCUUAAUCACGGCGGCCGGUCCUCCGGCCUGCAUCCGGCGGGCCGCCGGCAACCUUGCCCUCCACCAACCACCCUAAGGUUAUUAAAUAAAUAAAUAAAUAA
rnacentral:lncRNA from 1 species